rnacentral:lncRNA from 1 species
GGGUCCUUGACGAUACACAGUGGUGGCAACCUUCACGGGGUCCCUGAGGACAUGGGUGGGGAGAGAAGCCAAGCACAGCCUGGGUUGCAUUGUCAACCCCUGGAACCAGCUCCCAGGAACUUCAAACGCCUGGCAGGUUGUAGCUGGUACUCGGCCUUCAGUCCAGGACAGGAGCGAGGCAGAGGGUCCCCAGGAAGCUCUGGAGGGAGGCGGGGCUCACCACCUGCCCCGGAGGAGUUUGGAGCAAGUUUUCCAAAGAGCAGCAGACAAAGACAGUUGACCCAGCAAGUUUGGUGCUAUUCCCUGGAGAGAAUUAGAACACUGAAGGAGGCUGUGGGGCUGUGGCGGGGAGAAGCUUCUGACACCAGGCUCCAGGGUCUGACGAUGGGCCGGACACCUCCUCCCCCCGCCGUAGAUCCCGGCUCGGUUUUAGUAGGAGACAGAGGUGCCUGAUGCCGCGCUGGAGGGGAUUCUUGAUGAAGAAGGACCAAAGACCAGAUUAAUUGGAUGAAAUUAAAAAAUAAAGAAACAAACAAACAAAACAAGGAGGGGAUGUUUUGGCUCGCAUAAGUGGAAAGUCCAGAAUGUUCUACACGGCUGGAGCCAAAUGCGCAAAAUACAUCUUCAAGAACCGCUGUCAACUCUGCUCUCCUCGGUGCCAGCUUCAGGUCCAGGCAGAUCCCACCCCCGUCAUAGCAGAAAGCAGCCCCAGCCCCCAUCCCGCCCACCCGGUCAGCCCGUGAGCGGGCGAGGCUUUCUCUGUUUGUGCAGAGGUCCCAGGACCCACCCACGUGAAACGGAGCCCCUCACCUCCCAGACCUCAGGAGGACAGGGCCCGCCUGUCCGGGUCAGGUGACCGUCUCCCGCGCAGGUAUGAGUGUGAGGGUGCCACGGGCACCUGUACCUGGGGCUUGACCAGGUGACACGGGACAAGUUUCCAUCGAGUCGAGGACUCUGGACCUCUCGGGCGUUCCAAGACCCGAAGGAGGGCUGAAUGCACAGUGAAAGUGGGCGAGUCGUGGGCUGGGUAACUUAGAAACAGGUCUUCUGUAUUCUCCAGGCACUUUCUCCUCAGGGACAUGCAAAUGAGCUCGUGUCUCUUGUGCAGAAUUCAAUACUUCCGCUCCCCACUUCCAAAAUAAUUUUACCAGGACGAGGCCAGAAGGGUCUGGCUCUGGGAUCCAUGCCAUCUCCCGAUUCCUAGCAUCCGGAGCCAGCGCAGAGGCAGGAACGUCUGAAGGUUUCCGACGGGGCAGAGCUGGGCUAAGCUCUCAGGCUCGACAGCAGACGGCGUUUCAGAGGCAGGUGAAGAAAGGGGCGCUAUGACGCCCCAGCGGCUUGACUCCGGGCUGCCACGAUUCCCACUCUCACUCUGGAGGCCACGUUAAAGGAGACUCAGGGGUUACGUGUGUCUCUAUGUUGGACGCUAAAGAGCUAACCUUUCCCAGAAUUGCUCUCGAGGUCACACUAUUUAAAACCAAUGAGCAUCUCGGGAAGGGGGUGGACGUCUGCAGCUCCACGGCAGGCCAGG